GAGGGUAUAGCUCAGUGGUAGAGUGCAUGCUUAGCAUGCAUGAGGUCCUGGGUUCAAUCCCCAGUACCUCCU
rnacentral:tRNA from 1 species